UACGUAGGGACCUAGCGUUGUCCGGAAUCAUUGGGCGUAAAGGGCGCGUAGGUGGUUGCGUAAGUAACGUGUGAAAUCCCUCGGCUUACCCGGGGAAUUGCGCGUUAUACUGCGUGACUUGAGGAUCUCAGGGGAAGGGGGAACUCCAGGUGUAGCGGUGAAAUGCGCAGAUAUCUGGGGGAAGGCCGGCGGCGAAGGCGCCCUUCUGGGAGAUUCCUGACACUGAGGCGCGAAAGCGUGGGGAGCAAACGGG
rnacentral:rRNA from 1 species